rnacentral:lncRNA from 1 species
AAAAAAGCAGAAGCAAUGCAACAAGGCGUAUCUCUGGCUGUUCCAGCAUUCAUGUUUUUUGGUCAUAAAUUACAGUGUCAGGUUCUGUACAGUACGAGAAGAUUAAAAGGCUUUGGGCUAACAGAUGGAGAAGGUAUGGAGAGGUUAUGGUCCUUCCUUAGAAGAUUUGCUCGUAUCACAAAGAGAUGAGUCCAUCCCACCGGCUUGACCUCUUGACUGAAGCACUUCUUUAUUAUGGGAGGAGAAAAACAGCGGAUAUAGAAGUGCAGCUCCAUCACAGAUGGGAAAAAGCAGAGAAGGUCACUAAUCUAGCUAAAGAGGAGUUAGCUGCUGUCUUAAAAGAGGCACCAGCGAGUGUUUCAGAGCACAGUGUACAGAGAUGGAUGGAAACGGAGAACGAAGUAGCUAGAUUGACAGUUUUGAAAACCCAAAAUAGCAGACAGUGUUCCCAAAUGGAAGAGGGUGUAUGUGACAACGCUGAUUGA